UUGUGCUAAGGUAGCAUAAUCAUUUGUCUUUUAAUUAAAGACUAGAACAAAAGAUUAAACAUUUUAAUCAAUAUAUUACAAUUAAUAAAUUUAAUUUUUUUUAAAUGUAAAAAAACAUUUAUAAAUAAGGAAGACGAUAAGACCCUAUUAAACUUAACUUAAGUUAAACUGGGGCAGUUAAUUAAUUAUCAUUUUAAUUUAAAUUUUUAAAUAAAUAGAUCCUAUAAAAUAGGUCAAAUGAUCAAGUUACUAUAGGGAUAACAGCGUAAUAUUAAUUUAAAGAUCUUAUUAAAAUAAAAGAUUACGACCUCGAUGUUGAAUUAAUAACCUAUAUAGUGCAAUAAACAAUAAUAG
rnacentral:rRNA from 1 species